rnacentral:rRNA from 1 species
UACAGAGGUCCCAAGCGUUGUUCGGAUUCAUUGGGCGUAAAGGGUGCGUAGGCGGCGCGGUAAGUCGGGUGUGAAAUCUCGGAGCUUAACUCCGAAACUGCAUUCGAUACUGCCGUGCUUGAGGACUGGAGAGGAGACUGGAAUUUACGGUGUAGCGGUGAAAUGCGUAGAUAUCGUAAGGAAGACCAGUGGCGAAGGCGGGUCUCUGGGCCGGUACUGACGCUAAGGAGCGAAAGCGUGGGGAGCGAACAGG